UACGUAGGGCGCAAGCGUUAUCCGGAAUUAUUGGGCGUAAAAAGCUCGUAGGCGGUUUGUCGCGUCUGCCGUGAAAGUCCGGGGCUCAACUCCGGAUCUGCGGUGGGUACGGGCAGGCUAGAGUGAUGUAGGGGAGACUGGAAUUCCUGGUGUAGCGGUGAAAUGCGCAGAUAUCAGGAGGAACACCGAUGGCGAAGGCAGGUCUCUGGGCAUUAACUGACGCUGAGGAGCGAAAGCAUGGGGAGCGAACAGG
rnacentral:rRNA from 1 species